rnacentral:tRNA from 1 species
GCCUGGGUGGCUCAGUCGGUUAAGCAUCUGACUUCAGCUCAGGUCAUGAUCGUACCGUUCGUGAGUUUGAGCCCCACGUCAGGCU